CUGCCAAGGGCAUGGCUGGGUAGCUAUGUACGGAAUGGAUAAGCGCUGAAAGCAUCUAAGCGCGAAGCCAACUUCAAGAUAAGAUUUCCCACCGCAAGGGUAAGACCCCAGAAAGACUAUCUGGUUGAUAGGUCGAAGGUGUAAGUGCAGUAAUGUAUUUAGCUUAUCGAUACUAAUAGGUCGAGGACUUGACCAA
rnacentral:rRNA from 1 species